UCCAACAGAAUUUUUGAAUUCACUCGAUCUGCCGGAGAUGCCACCGCACGUACUGCAAUUGAAAAUAGGUGUGCCAAUUAUGAUGUUGCGAAAUAUCAACCAGCAAAGCUUUGCAACGGCAUGCAGCUUGCAGUAAAAAAAUUAUUGAGCAACGUCGUAGAAGCAACAAUCUUGACAGGACCUUUCAAAGGUGAAGAUGUCCUCAUUCCUUGCAUUCCUAUGAUUCCAACGGAUAUACCAUUUCAAUUUAAGAGAUUGCAAUUCCCAAUUCGAUUGGCGUUUGCAAUCACCAUCAACAAAGCUCAGUGCCAAUCUUUAGAAUUCUGCGGUUUAGUUCUAAGCACGGAUUCCUUCUCACAUGGACAAUUAUAUGUUGCGUGUUCUAGAGUCGUCAAACGAGACAAUCUCUAUAUCUGCACAGACAAUGGAACAACAAAAAAUAUUGUAUACCCACAAGCAUUGUGAAAUUAAACAUAUUAGAAAUGUGCGCUUUCUCUUUUCUUUCUUUUCCAUUUAACCAGACUGAGCCACAGCAACGCAUGGCCAGGUACAGCUAGUAAUUAAUAAGGUAGUGCAUGAGGAUGCUUAAAUACAAUAGCUUUACUACUGUAUUAGUGCUGGCUAUGCUUAUCUCCAGAGACAUUUAUAUGCUUAUUCAUGCAAUGGGACCUGCAAGCCUGUAUGCUGGAUUGGAUGGGAGUGAGGAUGUUGGGUUGUGGACAUGAAUAUGCCAUGAUCUCAGUUGCAUCCAGAUCUGAACAUACUUACCCAAAGAAAAUGAAAAUUUGACUGUGUUGUCUCACUGUAAAUUGUUUAUAAUUAGACCUGUGUGAAGCAGGAUUGCUGUAUUGACAACUUUUUUAAAGGGUUAUACCUUCUGGGAUAUGAUGUGUAAGGUAAAGUAAUGCCUCAGUCAUCAAGCGAUGAAAAUGUUUACAUUUCUGACCUGAGCACUAGAUGGAGGUGAGAGGAGGGUAUCUUCAGAUCCUGGCCUCAUUAUCCCUAGGGAAAGAGCCCCAGUACCCAAUGGAUAGGAGGCUUUGUGGGCCAAAGAGCUAGUCUGGAUGCUGUGGAGAAGAGAAAAAUCUUUUGCCCCUGCUAGGGAUCAAACCCUGGCUGUCCAGCCUGUAGCCCAUCAUUAUACUAACUGAGAUGCCCUGGCACCUCUACAGUAUUGCUUGUUGAAAGCCAGCUGAAGUUUUAGAGGAACAUGUUGUGGCCAUCUUCAGGAUUGGGGAAAAAACCUAGCAUCUCUGCUUUCUGUCUGCUUUAUGAAAAUGGAAGCGACAUAUGCUUCUGAACCACUGGUUGAUUUUCAGUGGACUGCAUUGUGUUAUGUCCUAGAAGGUAUAACCACCGUUGUGAGAACCUCAUAUCAUAAUCUUCCCCACCUCCCAUUGUGCUUGUAAUUCUAAGUAACUGUAGUUAGUCUGCUUUCUUGUAGCAUGUAGUGGUGAGUGUAUAAGAUAGCACUUUGCUAUUUACAUGUUACAUGUAAAAAGUAACCAAACUUUCAUUUGUAUUUUCCAGAACCUGAUCGUGGCAUAACAAACUCAACAGGUCAGAGAUAUUUCAAUGAGAUACUUUCAGGAGUAGAAUACCUCCAUAGCCAUGGCAUUGUACAUCAUGACCUGAAGCCGGAAAAUAUCCUACUGGAUGAACACUAUAACCUAAAGAUUUGUGACUUUGGAUUGGCUACUGUAUUCAGGGGGAAAGGAAUGGUCAGUAAUGGUCAUAUAAAUUAAUUAAGUUAUAGAUGACAAUGUCUCACAAUAUUAGCAGUGUUAUUCUGGAUAAACAGACUUUAAUAAAAACUGUCAUUGCAAUUUUCAUUUAAAUAUUCUCAUGCCUUGGUCACAUGCUUUCAAUUUAUUGCAAUUUCGGAGUUUACACAUGAUCCAAAAAUAAACUCUGGUGGCAAGUUCUCUGAAUUUUUGAAGAUACAGUUUUGGCCAAGACUAGUUUUAUACUGACUUUCUAAUUACCGUUCUAAAGUUCAGUUAUCACAAUAUAUGCCAGAUACAAGAACAAUAAUGAUGCUCAUAUUUGCAUAUGAACGUCUACAUUAGCUUGUGAGAAUUUAGUAUGUUUUGUGCCACCUCCACACAAGCAUUUAUAAUUGUUUGUGAAUAUAAAACCCAUCUCCUUGCAUGACAGGUUACUUAAACUGACUAAAUUCUUGGUGCUGAGGCAUCAGCGUACUUCCACAUCACUGCAUCUUAAUAGCCACAUUGGGCAUUUCCAUGUUUCAUCUCAGGCAGAGAGACAGGAGCCCCAUUCCUGUUGUAAAACCUUUCGUUUAUUUUUUUUUCUUGAUCGACACACUUCCACUUUUACAUCCAGUAAUAUCAUCUGGUAUACGCACUAGAGUGCACGUGCGCAUACGAAAAACCAACUUACCACCACACUGCCUGGAACCGUACUGGGACAGCCAUGUGGUUAGAUUGUACGACAUGCGUAUAUAAGUAUUACCAACAUAUACAACAGAAACAACAUGCGUAUAUUAGUAUUACCAACAUUCCCCCAUAAUCAUAGCAUGUAAA